UGCGCAGGCGGACCUAUUAGUCAGUGGUGAAAUCCCGGGGCUCAACUCCGGAACUGCCACUGAUACUGUAGGUCUUGAGUUUGGUUGAAGUGGGCGGAAUGUAGCAUGUAGCGGUGAAAUGCAUAGAUAUGCUACAGAACACCGAUCGCGAAGGCAGCUCACUAAACCAAAACUGACGCUCAGGCACGAAAGCGUGGGUAGCGAACAGGAUUAGAUACCCUGGUAGUC
rnacentral:rRNA from 1 species